CCGAUCGGGUAGAGCCGGGGACGUCUGAUAAGACUGCCUGCGCAAGCAGAGAGGAAGGAGGGGACGACGUCAAGUCAUCAUGGCCCUUACGCCCAGGGCGACACACGUGCUACAAUGGCGCAUACAGCGGGUAGCUACCUGGCAACAGGAUGCCAACCUCUAAAAGUGCGUCUCAGUUCGGAUUGGGGUCUGCAACCCGACCCCAUGAAGCUGGAAUCGCUAGUAAUCGCGCAUCAGCCAUGGCGCGGUGAAUACGUUCCCGGACCUU
rnacentral:rRNA from 1 species